rnacentral:rRNA from 1 species
UAGGGAAUUUUCGUCAAUGGGGGGAACCCUGAACGAGCAAUGUCGCGUGUGUGAAGAAGGUCUUCGGAUCGUAAAGCACUGUUGUAAGUGAAGAAUGCCAUAUAGAGGAAAUGCUAUGUGGGUGACGGUAGCUUACCAGAAAGCCACGGCUAACUACGUGCCAGCAGCCGCGGUAAUACGUAGGUGGCAAGCGUUAUCCGGAAUCAUUGGGCGUAAAGGGUGCGUAGGUGGCACGAUAAGUCUGAAGUAAAAGGCAACAGCUCAACUGUUGUAUGCUUUGGAAACUGUCGAGCUAGAGUGCAGAAGAGGGCGAUGGAAUUCCAUGUGUAGCAGUAAAAUGCGUAGAUAUAUGGAGGAACACCAGUGGCAAAGGCGGUCGCCUGGUCUGUAACUGACACUGAUGCACGAAAGCGUGGGGAGCAAAUAGGAUUAGAUACC